UACGGAGGAUCCAAGCGUUAUCCGGAUUUAUUGGGUUUAAAGGGUGCGCAGGCGGAAGAUUAAGUCGGUGGUGAAAUUUUGCAGCUCAACUGUAAAAGUGCCAUUGAUACUGGUUUUCUUGAGUGUGGAUGAAGUAGGCGGAAUUUGUGGUGUAGCGGUGAAAUGCAUAGAUAUCACGAGGAACCCCGAUUGCGCAGGCAGCUUACUAAACCAUAACUGACGCUCAGGCACGAAGGCGUGGGGAUCAAACAGGAUUAGAUACCCCGGUAGU
rnacentral:rRNA from 1 species